rnacentral:rRNA from 1 species
UAACCGUAUAGGGGAGCCGCAGGGAAACCGAGUCUUAACUGGGCGUUAAGUUGCAGGGUAUAGACCCGAAACCCGGUGAUCUAGCCAUGGGCAGGUUGAAGGUUGGGUAACACUAACUGGAGGACCGAACCGACUAAUGUUGAAAAAUUAGCGGAUGACUUGUGGCUGGGGGUGAAAGGCCAAUCAAACCGGGAGAUAGCUGGUUCUCCCCGAAAGCUAUUUAGGUAGCGCCUCGUGAAUUCAUCUUCGGGGGUAGAGCACUGUUUCGGCUAGGGGGUCAUCCCGACUUACCAACCCGAUGCAAACUACGAAUACCGAAGAAUGUUAUCACGGGAGACACACGGCGGGUGCUAACGUCCGUCGUGAAGAGGGAAACAACCCAGACCGCCAGCUAAGGUCCCAAAGUCAUGGUUAAGUGGGAAACGAUGUGGGAAGGCACAGACAGCCAGGAUGUUGGCUUAGAAGCAGCCAUCAUUUAAAGAAAGCGUAAUAGCUCACUGGUCGAGUCGGCCUGCGCGGAAGAUGUAACGGGGCUAAACCAUGCACCGAAGCUGCGGCAGCGACACUAUGUGUUGUUGGGUAGGGGAGCGUUCUGUAAGCCUGCGAAGGUGACCUGUGAGGGUUGCUGGAGGUAUCAGAAGUGCGAAUGCUGACAUAAGUAACGAUAAAGCGGGUGAAAAGCCCGCUCGCCGGAAGACCAAGGGUUCCUGUCCAACGUUAAUCGGGGCAGGGUGAGUCGACCCCUAAGGCGAGGCCGAAAGGCGUAGUCGAUGGGAAACAGGUUAAUAUUCCUGUACUUGGUGUUACUGCGAAGGGGGGACGGAGAAGGCUAUGUUAGCCGGGCGACGGUUGUCCCGGUUUAAGCAUGUAGGCUGGUUGUCCAGGCAAAUCCGGAUAAUCAAGGCUGAGGUGUGAUGACGAGGCACUACGGUGCUGAAGUAACAAAUGCCCUGCUUCCAGGAAAAGCCUCUAAGCAUCAGGUAACAUUAAAUCGUACCCCAAACCGACACAGGUGGUCAGGUAGAGAAUACCAAGGCGCUUGAGAGAACUCGGGUGAAGGAACUAGGCAAAAUGGUGCCGUAACUUCGGGAGAAGGCACGCUGGUGUGUAGGUGAAGCCCCUGCGGGUGGAGCUGAGACCAGUCGAAGAUACCAGCUGGCUGCAACUGUUUAUUAAAAACACAGCACUGUGCAAACACGAAAGUGGACGUAUACGGUGUGACGCCUGCCCGGUGCCGGAAGGUUAAUUGAUGGGGUUAUCCGUAAGGAGAAGCUCUUGAUCGAAGCCCCGGUAAACGGCGGCCGUAACUAUAACGGUCCUAAGGUAGCGAAAUUCCUUGUCGGGUAAGUUCCGACC